UACGGGGGGGGCAAGCGUUGUUCGGAAUUACUGGGCGUAAAGGGCUCGUAGGCGGCCAACUAAGUCAGACGUGAAAUCCCUCGGCUUAACCGGGGAACUGCGUCCGAUACUGGUGGGCUUGAAUCCGGGAGAGGGAUGCGGAAUUCCAGGUGUAGCGGUGAAAUGCGUAGAUAUCUGGAGGAACACCGGUGGCGAAGGCGGCAUCCUGGACCGGCAUUGACGCUGAGGCGCGAAAGCCAGGGGAGCAAACGGG
rnacentral:rRNA from 1 species